rnacentral:rRNA from 1 species
UACGUAGGGUGCGAGCGUUGUCCGGAAUUAUUGGGCGUAAAGGGCUCGUAGGCGGUUUGUCGCGUCGGGAGUGAAAACUCAGGGCUUAACCCUGAGCCUGUUCCGAUACGGGCAGACUAGAGGUAUGCAGGGGAGAACGGCAAUUCCUGGUGUAGCGGUGAAAUGCGCAGAUAUCAGGAGGAACACCGGUGGCGAAGGCGGUUCUCUGGGCAUUACCUGACGCUGAGGAGCGAAAGUGUGGGGAGCGAACGG